UACGGGGGGGGCAAGCGUUGUUCGGAAUUACUGGGCGUAAAGGGCUCGUAGGUGGCCAACUAAGUCGGACGUGAAAUCCCUCGGCUUAACCGGGGAACUGCGUCUGAUACUGGAUGGCUUGAGUUCGGGAGAGGGAUGCGGAAUUCCAGGUGUAGCGGUGAAAUGCGUAGAUAUCUGGAGGAACACCGGUGGCGAAGGCGGCAUCCUGGACCAUUACUGACACUGAAAAGCGAAAGCCAGGGGAGCAAACGGG
rnacentral:rRNA from 1 species